rnacentral:ncRNA from 1 species
GUCAAAACCUUUGCUAUAUAAGGAAUGAGUGGCAAGUUCAAAAUCAACAAUACCAAAUUUCCAAAAUACAUCGAGAGAAUCACAGACCAGAAAAUCUCAGGUUGGUCCUCCAUCAGACGUGGACC